UACGUAGGGUGCGAGCGUUAAUCGGAAUUACUGGGCGUAAAGCGUGCGCAGGCGGUGAUGUAAGACAGAUGUGAAAUCCCCGGGCUCAACCUGGGAACUGCAUUUGUGACUGCAUCGCUGGAGUGCGGCAGAGGGGGAUGGAAUUCCGCGUGUAGCAGUGAAAUGCGUAGAUAUGCGGAGGAACACCGAUGGCGAAGGCAAUCCCCUGGGCCUGCACUGACGCUCAUGCACGAAAGCGUGGGGAGCGAAACAGG
rnacentral:rRNA from 1 species